rnacentral:rRNA from 1 species
GUACACUCCUACGGGAGGCAGCAGUGGGGAAUUUUGGACAAUGGGCGCAAGCCUGAUCCAGCCAUGCCGCGUGCGGGAAGAAGGCCUUCGGGUUGUAAACCGCUUUUGUCAGGGAAGAAAAGGUUCUGGCUAAUACCUGGGACUCAUGACGGUACCUGAAGAAUAAGCACCGGCUAACUACGUGCCAGCAGCCGCGGUAAUACGUAGGGUGCAAGCGUUAAUCGGAAUUACUGGGCGUAAAGCGUGCGCAGGCGGUUAUGCAAGACAGAGGUGAAAUCCCCGGGCUCAACCUGGGAACUGCCUUUGUGACUGCAUGGCUAGAGUACGGUAGAGGGGGAUGGAAUUCCGCGUGUAGCAGUGAAAUGCGUAGAUAUGCGGAGGAACACCGAUGGCGAAGGCAAUCCCCUGGACCUGUACUGACGCUCAUGCACGAAAGCGUGGGGAGCAAACAGGAUUAGAUACCCCAGUAGUCCCAUGA